rnacentral:rRNA from 1 species
GUCCCCUACGGGACGCAGCAGUGGGGAAUAUUGGGCAAUGGGCGCAAGCCUGACCCAGCAACGCCGCGUGAAGGAAGAAGGCUUUCGGGUUGUAAACUUCUUUUAUCAGGGACGAAGCAAGUGACGGUACCUGAUGAAUAAGCCACGGCUAACUACGUGCCAGCAGCCGCGGUAAUACGUAGGUGGCAAGCGUUAUCCGGAUUUACUGGGUGUAAAGGGCGUGUAGGCGGGGGAGCAAGGCAGAUGUGAAAACUAUGGGCGCAACCCAUAGCCUGCAUUUGAAACUGUACAUAUUGA